CGGGACGAUGUAAGCUAAUGAAAACGGCGGUGGACAUUCGGGCUGCCAUAACACACGGUAGACUCGUUGUCCUAUAAUAGCCAUAACAUACGGUAGUCUUGAUUGUCCAAUAAUAGCCAUCUAACACACGGUAGACUCGAUUGUUCGAUAAUAGCCAUCUAACACACGACAGUCUUGAUGGUCCUAUAGCUAUUUACACCUUUUACCAUACAAAAAAUAUAGUGCACGGGGAAUUAAAAAAAAUAGAUGUGUCCUUAUUAUUUGUAGCGGGACCUUGAAACAUGUUGUUAAGUCAUGCAUAUACUGAGUCAUUUACUAAAAAUAGUGUACGGGUUUCUACUAACGGGGAUUCUGCAAACAAAUAUUCCUUAUUAGGGGUUAUAUGUGUCACAUUAUGGGGAGAAAUGUGACUAUCCAAUCAGGGGCUAUAUGCAACCCAGUCUUACUCCUUAUGUUAGAGCCAAAUGCGCUUCAAAAUCGGUGAAGACAGUCGUGUAUUUGUGUUUUAAAGUAAUCGAUCACGUCUAUCACGUCAUCAAUAUGUCUGAUCAAUAGUCUGUUUUCGCUAUGACUAUAAGUAUAAGUAGAAAUAAAACAGUAGAUGAAUUAGAGAAGAUGAUACAGGAGGAGUAUAGAAAGAAGUAUGGUAGAGAGUAUGAUGGUUAUAGUGAUUCUAUCUACAGUGAUGAUGGACAGGACAAGUACGACUACCAAAAAACACAACAAACAUCUUCCAUUAAUAGACUUGAAUUUAAAAUAUAGCGAUACAGUCGACUGGUGGUAAUACUAGUCUGUUGAUGAUGUAUAAAAUAAUUACAUCUUUUAAAUACACUGCUGCAGUAUACUGGAACAAUCUUCCUAUCCACCUGAAAAAAUGGCCUCCCUUAUCGACAUUCAAAACCUUAUUGAAGACAUAUUUAUUUAAACGUUAUGUUUAGUUUUCCCUUGGUAUUGAACUUUUAUUGUACAGAACUGAAUCACAAGCGCUAUGAGCAUACUCUUUGUGGACUAGCACUCUAUGAAUGACAUUCCUAUUAUUAUUUUAUUAUUAAAUCAUAUAUACUAACUAUAAAACAAUAUUAAACAUUUAACUUGAACAUUGAAUUCUAUCUAUAUAUACUAACUAUAAAACAAUAUUAAACAUUUAACUUAAACAUUGAAUUCUAUCUACAUAUACUAACUAUAAAACAAUAUUAAACAUUUAACUUA